GAUGAACGCUGGCGGCGUGCCUAAUACAUGCAAGUCGAGCGAACAGAUGAGGAGCUUGCUCCUCUGACGUUAGCGGCGGACGGGUGAUUAACACGUGGAUAACCUACCUAUAAGACUGGGAUAACUUCGGGAAACCGGAGCUAAUACCGGAUAAUAUAUUGAACCGCAUGGUUCAAUAGUGAAAGACGGUUUUGCUGUCACUUAUAGAUGGAUCCGCGCCGCAUUAGCUAGUUGGUAAGGUAACGGCUUACCAAGGCAACGAUGCGUAGCCGACCUGAGAGGGUGAUCGGCCACACUGGAACUGAGACACGGUCCAGACUCCUACGGGAGGCAGCAGUAGGGAAUCUUCCGCAAUGGGCGAAAGCUUGACGGAGCAACGCCGCGUGAGUGAUGAAGGUCUUCGGAUCGUAAAACUCUGUUAUUAGGGAAGAACAAAUGUGUAAGUAACUAUGCACGUCUUGACGGUACCUAAUCAGAAAGCCACGGCUAACUACGUG
rnacentral:rRNA from 1 species